rnacentral:tRNA from 1 species
UCCCUGGUGGCUCAGACGGUAAAGUGUCUGCCUACAAUGCAGGAGACCCAGGUUCGAUUCCUGGGUGGGGAA